rnacentral:rRNA from 1 species
UUCCGGUUGAUCCUGCCGGACCUUACUGCUAUCGGGGUGGGACUAAGACAUGCGAGUCGAGCGUCUCUAGCUAUGUUGAGACGCGGCAUACGGCUCAGUAACACGUGGCUAACCUACCCUCAGGACGGGGACAAACCCGGGAAACUGGGGCUAAUAUCCGAUAGGCGAAGAAUCCUGGAAUGGUUCUUCACUCAAAGGACAUUGGAAACAUGCUUUCUCUGUCGCCUGGGGAUGGGGCCGCGUCCGAUCAGGUUGUUGGUGAGGUAAUGGCUCACCAAGCCUUUAACCGGUACGGGCCGUGAGAGCGGUAGCCCGGAGAUGGGUACUGAGACAAGGACCCAGGCCCUACGGGGCGCAGCAGUCGCGAAAACUCCGCAAUGCACGAAAGUGUGACGGGGCUACCCCGAGUGCCGUCCGCUGAGGAUGGCUUUUCCUUGGUGUAACUAGCCGGGGGAAUAAGGAGAGGGCAAGACUGGUGUCAGCCCGCCGCGGUAAUACCCAGCUCUCCGAGUGGUAGGGAUGAUUAUUGGGCUUAAAGCGUCCGUAGCCGGCUUAGCAAGUUUCCUGUUAAAUUCAGCGACCUAAUCGUUGAGCCGCGGGAAAUACUACUAGGCUAGGAGGCGGGAGAGGUCGACGGUACUUCUGGGGUAGGGGUGAAAUCCUAUAAUCCCGGGAGGACCACCAGUGGCGAAGGCUGUCGACUAGAACGCGCUCGACGGUGAGGGACGAAAGCUGGGGGAGCGAACCGGAUUAGAUACCCGGGUAGUCCCAGCUGUAAACGAUGCGGGCUAGGUGUUGGGGUGGCUACGUGCCACUUCAGUGCCGCAGGGAAGCCAUUAAGCCCGCCGCCUGGGGAGUACGGCCGCAAGGCUGAAACUUAAAGGAAUUGGCGGGGGAGCACCACAAGGCGUGAAGCUUGCGGUUCAAUUGGAGUCAACGCCGGG